ACGCUGGCGGCGUGCCUAACGCAUGCAAGUCGAGCGGAGAUAGAGAAGAGUACUUGUACAAAUUUCUAUUUCAGCGGCGGACGGGUGAGUAACACGUGAGUAACCUGCCUUUCACUGGGGAAUAACAUCGAGAAAUCGGUGCUAAUACCGCAUAACGUCACGAAGCCGCAUGGUUUUGUGACCAAAGGAGUAAUCCGGUGAAAGAUGGACUCGCGUCCGAUUAGAUAGUUGGUGAGGUAAUGGCUCACCAAGUCUGCGAUCGGUAGCCGAACUGAGAGGUUGAUCGGCCACAUUGGGACUGAGACACGGCCCAGACUCCUACGGGAGGCAGCAUUGGGGAAUAUUGGGCAAUGGGCGAAAGCCUGACCCCGCACAGCCGCGUGAAGGAAGAAGGUCUUCGGAUUGUAGACUUCUUUGAUCAGGGACGNNNNNNNUGACGGUUACGUGAAGAACAAGCCAGGGCUAACUACGUGCCAGCAG
rnacentral:rRNA from 1 species